rnacentral:rRNA from 1 species
UGGGGAAUUUUGGACAAUGGGCGCAAGCCUGAUCCAGCCAUGCCGCGUGCGGGAAGAAGGCCUUCGGGUUGUAAACCGCUUUUGUCAGGGAAGAAAUCUUCUGAGUUAGUACCUCGGGAGGAUGACGGUACCUGAAGAAUAAGCACCGGCUAACUACGUGCCAGCAGCCGCGGUAAUACGUAGGGUGCAAGCGUUAAUCGGAAUUACUGGGCGUAAAGCGUGCGCAGGCGGUUUUGUAAGACAGAGGUGAAAUCCCCGGGCUCAACCUGGGAACUGCCUUUGUGACUGCAAGGCUUGAGUGCGGCAGAGGGGGGAUGGAAUUCCGCGUGUAGCAGUGAAAUGCGUAGAUAUGCGGAGGAACACCGAUGGCGAAGGCAAUCCCCUGGGCCUGCACUGACGCUCAUGCACGAAAGCGUGGGAGACAAAUAGGAUUAGAUACCCUGGUAGUCCACGCCCUAAACGAUGUCAACUGGUUGUUGGGAAGGUUCCUUCUCCAGUAAACGUAGCUAACGCGUGAAGUUGGACCGCCUGGGGAGUACGGCCGCAAGGUUGAAAACUUAAAAUGAAUUGACGGGGUCAUAGCUGUUUCCU